rnacentral:rRNA from 1 species
CCAGCACCCCGAGUGGUCGGGACGAUUAGUUGGGCCUAAAGCAUCCGUAGCCGGUUUUACAAGUCCUCCGUUAAAUCCAACUGCUUAACAGAUGGGCCGCGGAGGAUACUAUAAGACUAGGAGGCAGGAGAGGCAAGCGGUACUCAGUGGGUAGGGGUAAAAUCCGUUGAUCCAUUGAAGACCACCAGUGGCGAAGGCGGCUUGCCAGAAUGCGCUCGACGGUGAGGGAUGAAAGCUGGGGGAGCAAACCGGAUUAGAUACCCGGGUAGUCCCAGCUGUAAACGAUGCAGACUCGGUGAUGGACUAGCUUUAUGCUAGUCCAGUGCCGCAGGGAAGCCGUUAAGUCUGCCGCCUGGGUAGUACGGUCGCAAGACUG